rnacentral:rRNA from 1 species
AGCUCCGUAUAUCCCAAACCAACCACAGCGAAAGCAGUCCGCGACUUGCGAGCAGAGUACACGACGCGACCGCGAACCAAACCCUACCGCGAACACGUCGGCGAUGAGCUCCUCCAACGGCAACGGCGGGAAGAAGCCGGCGCCGUCCGGCGGGCGCGGGGGCAUCCGCACCCUCGCCGACAUCAACCGCGGCCCCUCCGGAUUCCCAGGCGCAGGCGGCAGCGGCAGCGACUCCGAUGAGCCCCAGGAGUACUACACCGGCGGCGAGAAGAGUGGGAUGCUUGUUCAAGAUCCAACAAGGAGAAAUAAUGUGGACUCAAUCUUUGAGCAAGCUAGAGUGAUGGGUGCUCAGCAAGUUCCACUGCCUUCUUUUGAAGGCCAAUCUUCCAGCUCAACCAGCUUUGCAGGAACAGGUCGUCUGCUUUCAGUGGAUGCGCAGACAGCACCAGCUGCUCCUCAACCACCGCAGGAUGUUCUUCACAAUAUACAUUUCUGGAACAAUGGUUUCACAGUAGAUGAUGGUCCACUAAGAGGCUAUGACGACCCUGCAAAUGCAGACUUCAUCGAGAGCAUCAAGAAGUCCCAGUGCCCCCAAGAGCUGGAGCCUGCUGAUCGAAGGACAGCUGUCCACGUCAAUGUUAUAAAACGACAUGGAGAUUAUGAGGAAGCUGCAAGGCCUCGAUCAGCUUUCCAGGGUGUUGGUAGAACCCUUGGUGGAUCUUCAGCAGAUGAGAGUCCUGCACCAGCUCCUGUGACCCAAGAGCCCCGCAGUGCUCCCAGGUCAAUUGGCAUAGUUGUGGACGACUCGCAGCCCUUUACAUCUAUACAGCUAAGGUUGGCGGACGGCACUCGCAUGGUCGCUCGGUUUAACCUUCACCACACCGUGGGCGACAUCAGGUCUUUCAUUGAUGCAUCCCGCCCAGGAGCUGCGCGGCCGUAUCAAUUGCAGACUGGCUUCCCACCCAAGCAGCUGACUGACCCUACGCAGACUGUUGAUCAAGCUGGACUCAAGAACUCCGUUAUCAUGCAGAAGAUGUAGUGCUCUCACCAAGCUGGAUCUGUCGCACAAAAUGUCUUUCCGAUGCAUUAUUAAAUCGGUGCUGCUGAAUGGUUUAUCAUGUCCACUAGAUACUGCACUUUGCAUGCAACCUGUGAUGUACUGGUUGUUUUGUCGAUAAACGUCAGUGGAGUCUAUAUUCGUAUUGCUACCAACUAUGAAUGGCUAUCAAAGUUAAGUUAUAAUGGAUGUCCGGUUGUCUAUCAUCAGAUGGGCUUGCUUGUUCUCAUUUCCUAACCUAAUCGUAAGAAAUUGGAC